CGCGUAGGUGGGAUAGUCAGUCUGUCUUAAAAGUGCGGGGCUCAACCCCGUGAUGGGGCGGAAACUGCUAUUCUUGAGUGCAGGAGAGGAAAGCGGAAUUCCCAGUGUAGCGGUGAAAUGCGUAGAUAUUGGGAGGAACACCAGUGGCGAAGGCGGCUUUCUGGACUGUGUCUGACACUGAGGCGCGAAAGCUAGGGGAGCGAACGGGAUUAGAUACCCCGGUAGUCCUAGCCGUAAACGAUGGGUACUAGGUGUAGGGGGUAUCGACCCCUCCUGUGCCGGAGUUAACGCAAUAAGUACCCCGCCUGGGGAGUACGGCCGCAAGGUUGAA
rnacentral:rRNA from 1 species